CCACUACUGUUUUCACGCGCUGCUCAGUACCGUGAAAUUGUUUUUCACAAUUCGGGUCAGGAGAAAUUAACUUGAAUGACAACUUGAUUGUCUUGACCCUUUCUGCGACUCAUUGGCUAAAGGGAUGUUUCAUUGACAGUCCGUGAUCUUGGACCUUUCUACGAAGCGAACAACAUUGCCCUCAAACGUUCUUAACUUGAUGAAGCAUUUCAGCAAAGAUUCAUUCUUCAUAUGAUCUGCAAUGUGUCGAGAGAUGCAGGCGUUGGUGACCCUCUCACAGGAUACCCAAAUUGUUUUUUUUCUUUUUUUUUUAUUUUGUUUUUUUUUUCAAUUCUUUUUUCUUUUUUCUCUUUGUUUUUUGUUUGUUUUUUUUUUUUUGACACAUACUCAACAAUGGAUACCCAUGAGGGGACAUCAAGGUAGCUCCUGCAAUGGUGUAUGAUACACGAUCUUUGCUGCCAGGAAAACAGGCCAUUUAAACUUUUCCUCUUCUGAGCCCACACAAAGCUGCCUUCGUUCAUUUGCCCCUUUCAUCUUUGGUUUACAAUGCAGCAGUUCACCCAAGGGACAUGUGGCAUUAAAGGCGUCCUUAUUCGCGCGAGAAAUGAAGCAUACAUACAACAUCGGUAAACACCUAGCAUCUUCCUGACCUUGGUUCAUGACACCAAUUAAGAGUCCCAUAAAUUCCAGUUAGGACAACCGAUACUGGAUGCUCAGAGAAAACUUUUAUCCCGCAAAUGCAUUCAUGGCAGCACAGUCGACCAAUUCCAUGGUAUUAGGAAAGAGCAUGACACCAUAGUGGAUAAGAGCUAGUACAUUCAUGAAUGUUUCCCAAAUUUCCUCCUUGGUUAAUCAAUGCAAAAACAACUCUAGGCAUUCUUAAGGUAGUAUGAAUUCGCUUUCCAACUUUAUAGGGUGUAUUUUCGUGAUUCUCAUUAGCUGCAAGAUAGGGUAUAUUGCCUAAGGUGAUUGUUUGGAUCUUUGCCCUCAAGAAAUGCAUCUAAGAUCAACUCAAAUUCUUCUACUGUGGGCACCAAUUUGGAAUGGGUUAUAGUACUGAGCAAAAAUUGUUGUCGUUUGGACCUCCACCUUUGACAGGAUCAACAAAUUCCCACACCCUCCUGAAUGCAUUUGUCAAGGUUAUCCUUCUUUCACCAGAUCCCUCAAGUGACCGAUGUUGCCCCCCUUGGUCUCGAUACGUACGCUUUUCUUGAAAAAGUCUAAACUCAAAUGCCCUUUGACUCAAAAUCCCAUGUUAACUUCCACUUUUACCGUAAACACGACUUUAUAAUUUCUUGACUAUAACCCACAGAAUUUGGCAAGACCAUAAAAACAUGAGCAACAAAGAAAGAAAGAAGAAGAAUGUAGUGAUAUGUACAAGGUGCUUGAUUUUAUUAAGCAAAAAUGAGGGUUAGAAGACUGCACACAUCUCCCUUUGUGCCCUAACGGAGGUUCGACGCUUUAGAUUCAAGGUCAAGUAUAUGCAAUCUCACCAGGAUAGUUCCCUGAGCCUAAGGAUCAAUGGUCACUAGAGUUAUGGCCCCCAACAUAGCACCUCCACAACAGUCGAGUAAUCAACUAGGUGUGAAGAUACAAAUGAAGAGAACAGACUCUAGUUGGAGUUCUCACGAUAGCCAAACAAGAAGUACAUCCCAGAGUGACACUGCUACAUAACUCCUCUAAUUCUAAAUUACGCUCAGAC
rnacentral:lncRNA from 1 species